rnacentral:rRNA from 1 species
GAUGAACGCUAGCGGCAGGCCUAACACAUGCAAGUCGAGGGGCAUCAUGGCGUAGCAAUACGCUGAUGGCGACCGGCGCACGGGUGCGUAACGCGUAUGGAACCUACCCACCGCAGGGGGAUAACCCGCCGAAAGGCGGACUAAUACCCCAUGGUUCCCCGACCCUGCCUGGGGUUGGGGGUAAAGCCUACGGGCGGCGGUGGAUGGCCCUGCGUGCCAUUAGCUGGCUGGUGGGGUAACGGCCCACCAGGGCGACGAUGGCUAGGGGGUCUGAGAGGACGAUCCCCCACACUGGUACUGAGACACGGACCAGACUCCUACGGGAGGCAGCAGUGAGGAAUAUUGGUCAAUGGGCGCAAGCCUGAACCAGCCAUCCCGCGUGCAGGAAGACGGCCCUAUGGGUUGUAAACUGCUUUUCCAGGGAGAGAAACUUACGCACGUGUUGCGUGACUGACGGUACCCUGGGAAUAAGCAUCGGCUAACUCCGUGCCAGCAGCCGCGGUAAACUCGUCU